rnacentral:lncRNA from 1 species
AGCAGGGCUCCAAAUGUGGUGAUAUAGAUAAUACAAUCCUUUUUAAAGGUAGAGUCAUUGCCAAGGGUACUGACAUUCUCUAAUUUUUGGCAGAUGGUGGUUGGCCUUGACCAAAUCGGACGUCUUCUGGAACACGACAGACACUGGCUGGGUGAAGGCAGCCUGGACUCUCUUCUCUGCCUGGCCUAAUGGAUCUUGCAUUUUUGUGCAUGAGCUGUCCCGAGUUGAUGCCAAAGUUAUCCUGAAUACUCUCUCCACAUUCCCGAUAACCACCCUCUGCUGUGUUCUAACCAUCUUUCGGCUGCUUGUGCAGGAGGAUCUGACCAGGUACCAGUUUCAGAGCCUGAGGCACUGUCUGACCGGAGGAGAGGCCCUCAAC